AAGAUCAUGGUUUGGACAACUCCGCAAAACAUUCUUGAACAACUCCCACACUUCAUAAAAGGACUCAAGAUCAUAUUGGGAGAAACUCAUGAUAUCAUUCAUAAUCUU